CAAGUUUUUAAGGGCGCACGGUGGAUGCCUUGGCACCAGGAACCGAUGAAGGACGUGGGAGGCCACGAUAGGCCCCGGGGAGCUGUCAACCGAGCUUUGAUCCGGGGGUGUCCGAAUGGGGAAACCCGGCAGUCGUCAUGGGCUGUCACCCGCUGCUGAACACAUAGGCAGUGUGGAGGGAACGCGGGGAAGUGAAACAUCUCAGUACCCGCAGGAAGAGAAAACAACCGUGAUUCCGGGAGUAGUGGCGAGCGAAACUGGAUGAGGCCAAACCAGUCACGUGUGAUACCCGGCAGGGGUUGCGUGGUUGGGGUUGUGGGAUCUCUCUUUUGCAGUCUGCCGGCUGUGAGGCGAGUCAGAAACCGUUGAUGUAGGCGAAGGACAUGCGAAAGGUCCGGCGUAGAGGGUAAGACCCCCGUAGCUGAAACAUUAGCGGCUCGUUUGAGAGACACCCAAGUAGCACGGGGCCCGAGAAAUCCCGUGUGAAUCUGGCGGGACCACCCGUUAAGCCUAAAUAUUCCCUGGUGACCGAUAGCGGAUAGUACCGUGAGGGAAUGGUGAAAAGUACCGCGGGAGCGGAGUGAAAUAGUACCUGAAACCGUGUGCCUACAAGCCGUGGGAGCGUCGCUGGUGAGUUUACUCAUCAGUCGUGACUGCGUGCCUUUUGAAGAAUGAGCCUGCGAGUUUGCGGUAUGUUGCGAGGUUAACCCGUGUGGGGAAGCCGUAGCGAAAGCGAGUCCGAAUAGGGCGUGGAGUAGCAUGCUCAAGACCCGAAGCGGAGUGAUCUAGCCAUGGGCAGGUUGAAGCGGAGGUAAGACUUCGUGGAGGACCGAACCCACCAGGGUUGAAAACCUGGGGGAUGACCUGUGGUUAGGGGUGAAAGGCCAAUCAAACUCCGUGAUAGCUGGUUCUCCCCGAAAUGCAUUUAGGUGCAGCGUCGUGUGUUUCUUGCCGGAGGUAGAGCACUGGAUAGGCGAUGGGCCCUACCGGGUUACUGACCUUAGCCAAACUCCGAAUGCCGGUAAGUGAGAGCGCGGCAGUGAGACUGUGGGGGAUAAGCUCCAUGGUCGAGAGGGAAACAGCCCAGAGCAUCGACUAAGGCCCCUAAGCGUGUGCUAAGUGGGAAAGGAUGUGGAGUCGCAGAGACAACCAGGAGGUUGGCUUAGAAGCAGCCACCCUUGAAAGAGUGCGUAAUAGCUCACUGGUCAAGUGAUUCCGCGCCGACAAUGUAGCGGGGCUCAAGUACACCGCCGAAGUCGUGUCAUUGCAGCAUGAGGGCUAACGCCUGUUGUGAUGGGUAGGGGAGCGUCGUGUGCCGGGUGAAGCAGCCGUGGAAACGAGUUGUGGACGGUUCACGAGUGAGAAUGCAGGCAUGAGUAGCGAUACAAGAGUGGGAAACUCUUGCGCCGAUUGACUAAGGGUUCCUGGGUCAAGCUGAUCUGCCCAGGGUAAGUCGGGACCUAAGGCGAGGCCGACAGGCGUAGUCGAUGGACAACCGGUUGAUAUUCCGGUACCCGCUUUGAAGCGCCCAAUACUGAAUCAGGCGAUGCUAAGUCCGUGAAGCCGCCCUGAUCUCUUCGGAGUUGAGGGGAGUGGUGGAGCCGACGGACCAGACUUGUAGUAGGUAAGCGAUGGGGUGACGCAGGAAGGUAGUCCAGCCCGGGCGGUGGUUGUCCCGGGGUAAGGGUGUAGGCCGUGUGGUAGGUAAAUCCGUCGCACGUUAAGGCUGAGACCUGAUGCCGAGCCGAUUGUGGUGAAGUGGAUGAUCCUAUGCUGUCGAGAAAAGCCUCUAGUGAGUUUCAAGGCGGCCCGUACCCUAAACCGACUCAGGUGGUCAGGUAGAGAAUACCGAGGCGUUCGGGUGAACUAUGGUUAAGGAACUCGGCAAAAUGCCCCCGUAACUUCGGGAGAAGGGGGGCCAUUUCUGGUGAGGGAACUUGCUUCCUGAGCUGGGGGUGGCCGCAGAGACCAGCGAGAAGCGACUGUUUACUAAAAACACAGGUCCGUGCGAAGCCGUAAGGCGAUGUAUACGGACUGACGCCUGCCCGGUGCUGGAACGUUAAGGGGACCGGUUAGCUUGGAUUCGUUCAGGCGAAGCUGAGAACUUAAGCGCCAGUAAACGGCGGUGGUAACUAUAACCAUCCUAAGGUAGCGAAAUUCCUUGUCGGGUAAGUUCCGACCUGCACGAAUGGCGUAACGACUUCUCGACUGUCUCAACCAUAGGCCCGGUGAAAUUGCAUUACGAGUAAAGAUGCUCGUUUCGCGCAGCAGGACGGAAAGACCCCGGGACCUUUACUAUAGCUUGAUAUUGGUGUUCGGUUCGGCUUGUGUAGGAUAGGUGGGAGACUGUGAAGCGCCAACGCCAGUUGGUGUGGAGUCGUUGUUGAAAUACCACUCUGGUCGUGCUGGAUGUCUAACCUGGGUCCGUGAUCCGGAUCAGGGACAGUGUCUGGUGGGUAGUUUAACUGGGGCGGUUGCCUCCUAAAGAGUAACGGAGGCGCCCAAAGGUUCCCUCAGCCUGGUUGGUAAUCAGGUGUUGAGUGUAAGUGCACAAGGGAGCUUGACUGUGAGACUGACGGGUCGAGCAGGUACGAAAGUAGGGACUAGUGAUCCGGCGGUGGCUUGUGGAAGCGCCGUCGCUCAACGGAUAAAAGGUACCCCGGGGAUAACAGGCUGAUCUUCCCCAAGAGUCCAUAUCGACGGGAUGGUUUGGCACCUCGAUGUCGGCUCGUCGCAUCCUGGGGCUGGAGUCGGUCCCAAGGGUUGGGCUGUUCGCCCAUUAAAGCGGUACGCGAGCUGGGUUUAGAACGUCGUGAGACAGUUCGGUCCCUAUCCGCUGUGCGCGUAGGAGUCUUGAGAAGGGCUGUCCCUAGUACGAGAGGACCGGGACGGACGAACCUCUGGUGUGCCAGUUGUUCUGCCAAGGGCAUGGCUGGUUGGCUACGUUCGGAAAGGAUAACCGCUGAAAGCAUCUAAGCGGGAAGCCUGCUUCGAGAUGAGGGCUCCCUCCUCCUUGAGAGGGUAAGGCUCCCAGUAGACGACUGGGUUGAUAGGCCAGAUAUGGAAGCACUGUAAGGUGUGGAGUUGACUGGUACUAAUAGGCCGAGGGCUUGUCC
rnacentral:rRNA from 1 species